GGGCAUGAGGCUGAUCUGGCUGUGACCGGCCACAUGCUGAUCACUAGGUGGGUUUGGCUGACAUAGCUGGGUUGGUAGGUGGCCCCUGCUUUCCCUCUUCAGUCCGUGCGUCCUUCCUGAAGCUUCUCCCCGUUGAAGACAACCUUCUCCAGCAAGGCUGCCCUGCUGUAGUGUGCAGAGAGCUGAGGGUUUCUUGGAAAUCUCCAAACAAGCUUUUAAGGUCCAAACCUGGACCUUGA
rnacentral:sRNA from 1 species